UUUCAUCAUUUUCAUAUGUGAUCGCUUAACUUUGUUGGUGAUUUUGUUCAAUGGUUUUGUAGAUGCAACCAAAAUUAGUUUUAUCAUUUUUGUUGUAUUAUUCGCUUAUGGGUUACUUUUGGUUUCACAACAAGGAAAAAAAGAGAAACAGAGCCGUAUAGGUGUUGUUGCAUUAUUUGUGUGCGCUAGCACCUGAGAUAAAAGCUUUGAUACACAACAAAAAACUGCAUAUGAAGGCUCUGGUUUCAUGUCCAUUUUGGUGUUUCUUCAAGUCGUUCUAUGAUGGUAUAUCCAAUUAAGAGUCGUAUGCUGGAAGCUGCUGCAAAUGAAACCAAGGCUGAUGACUUCGUCAAGUUAUUCUUAGUCUACCUUUUGGUUUGUGUAUUCGUCCCCAAUAAAGGUGGGUAAACUCUAACUGCAAAGUACUUGUACUUGGUAUCUGAGAUGAAUAAGGUGUGUUGGCCGGACGUGUUUCAUGAGUAUCUAAUUGAGUGGAUAAUAACAUCCAAAGACGUUGAAAAUGUAGUGGGUUGCAUCAUUUACCUGCUGUAUUAGUUGGCAGAGAUGUCUUACAUCGCAGAACAAAAGGAUGGGACAUAUAUCCAAGGUUUACUAGAUGGAACCUUGGUGGAAUAUGCUACCAAAUAUUGGAUAAAUUCCAGGAGCUUAGAGAACACACAGGAAUUUAAUUAAAGAUGAAUAUCGGUCGCUGCAAGGGUUCAUUCAUGCUGACGAACAAGAAAUGCGCUUGGUCGAGCGCAUAGAAUAAAAAGAUACUGUUGAUGAAGAAGUGUCGGUUGGUGAUGUUGAAAAUGUUGGUCGUGGCAUGAAGUGCCUGGACAAAAAUGAAGUCAAUGUUGGUGCUGGCAGUGAAGUGCGUGGACAAAAUGAAGACAAUGAUGGUUCUAUCGGUGAAGUGAACUCUUAUAAAGACAAAUAUCAAUGGGCACAAAAUCUGAUUGAAAACCUU